CGUCAUUUAGAAGAGCUCUCUAAAUCAUAGAUCAUGGUCGAUUCAUCAUUUGGAGGAGCUUUCCGAUGAGGUGGACUUCUUCAGAUUUCCUCCUCGGCUUUGUCAGCCUUAUAGGAUUUCUUCUUUGGAUUUUAUCCUUAAAUUGAUGACGGUCAGUAGCACCCUCCUUGAUACAGAUGUAUUUCUAUGCGUACUUGAGGAGUUCGGUG
rnacentral:lncRNA from 1 species